UACAGAGGGUGCAAGCGUUAAUCGGAAUUACUGGGCGUAAAGCGUGCGCAGGCGGUUAUGUAAGACCGGUGUGAAAUCCCCGGGCUUAACCUGGGAACUGCAUUUGUGACUGCAUAGCUAGAGUACGGUAGAGGGGGAUGGAAUUCCGCGUGUAGCAGUGAAAUGCGUAGAUAUGCGGAGGAACACCGAUGGCGAAGGCAGCCCCCUGGGCUAACACUGACGCUCAGGCACGAAAGCGUGGGGAGCAAACAGG
rnacentral:rRNA from 1 species